CUUACCGCUGAAACUUAAGCAUAUCAAUAAGCGGAGGAAAAGAAACUAACAAGGAUUCCCCUAGUAACUGCGAGUGAAGCGGGAAAAGCUCAAAUUUAGAAUCUGGCAGUCUUAGAUUGUCCGAGUUGUAAUUUGGAGAGGUGUUUUCUGUGCUGGACCGUGUACAAGUCUCUUGGAAUAGAGCAUCGUAGAGGGUGAGAAUCCCGUCUAUUGACACGGACUACCAGGACUAUGUGAUACACUUUCGAAGAGUCGCGUUGUUUGGGAAUGCAGCGCAAAAUGGGUGGUAAAUUCCAUCUAAAGCUAAAUAUUGGCGAGAGACCGAUAGCGAACAAGUACCGUGAGGGAAAGAUGAAAAGCACUUUGGAAAGAGAGUUAAACAGUACGUGAAAUUGUUGAAAGGGAAACGCUUGAAGUCAGUCGCAUCUACUUGGAUUCAACCUGGCUCUUUUGCUCGGUGUAUUUCCUUGUCGAUGGGUCAACAUCGAUUUUGACCGGUGGAUAAAGGAUUGAGGAAUGUGGCACCUUCGGGUGUGUUAUAGCCUCUGUUCGCAUACAUCGGUUGGGAUCGAGGUCUGCAGCACGCCUUUUACGGCCGGGGUUUCGACCUACGUACGUGCUUAGGAUGUUGGCGUAAUGGCUUUAAACGACCCGUCUUGAAACACGGACCAAGGAGUCUAACAUACCUGCGAGUAUUUGGGUGUGAAACCCACAUGCGUAGUGAAAGCGAAAGUCAAGAUCCCUGUCGUGGGGAGCACUGACGCCCGGUCUUGAGCUUUGGCGACGGAUCUGAGGUAGAGCAUGUAUGUUGGGACCCGAAAGAUGGUGAACUAUGCCUGAAUAGGGUGAAGCCAGAGGAAACUCUGGUGGAGGCUCGUAGCGAUUCUGACGUGCAAAUCGAUCGUCAAAUUUGGGUAUAGGGGCGAAAGACUA
rnacentral:rRNA from 1 species